CACGUAGGAGGCAAACGUUAUCUGGAUUUACUGGGCGUAAAGCGCAUGUAGGUGGUUCUGUAAGUAGGGCGUGAAAGCUCCCGGCUCAACUGGGAGAGGCCGUUCUAAACUACAGAGCUAGAGGAUGGUAGAGGGAGGUGGAAUUCCGGGUGUAGCGGUGGAAUGCGCAGAUAUCCGGAGGAACACCAGUGGCGAAAGCGGCCUCCUGGUCCAUUCCUGACACUCAGAUGCGAAAGCUAGGGUAGCAAACGGGAUUAGAUACCCGGGUAGUCCCUGA
rnacentral:rRNA from 1 species